AUUCAACUGUCUACAGCAUUCAUAUGCUUGAGAGAAGGUAUACGCUUCUCUGGUUCGGUGAUUGUGGUGUCUGCUGCAGUGCUUGGAGUCCUCAGGAAGCGCUAGGAGCAUCUUUCAACGGAGGUACCCAGUCGGGGUGCCAGGCGAUCCGUUACAUUGGUGGCAAGCGGUGGGAUGGCGUCCUAGUGCAAGGUAAAGCAGCUCAGAGACACUGUUUGUGGAGUCACAAAUUGAGGGCAACGCUAGCACACGUGCAGCGCCCCGGGAGCAGAGGUACCCAGCGACUUGGAGCAGACAAGUAUGGA